AAAAAGAUAAGCUAAUAAAGCUAUUGGGUUCAUACCCCCCCGUAUAGAAGUCUCCUGCACCUUCUUCUUUUUA
rnacentral:tRNA from 1 species